rnacentral:rRNA from 1 species
GAUACCCCCGGAAACUGGGGAUUAUACCGGAUAUGUGGGGCUGCCUGGAAUGGUACCUCAUUGAAAUGCUCCCGCGCCUAAAGAUGGAUCUGCCGCAGAAUAAGUAGUUUGCGGGGUAAAUGGCCACCCAGCCAGUAAUCCGUACCGGUUGUGAAAACCAGAACCCCGAGAUGGAAACUGAAACAAAGGUUCAAGGCCUACCGGGCACAACAAGCGCCAAAACUCCGCCAUGCGAGCCAUCGCGACGGGGGAAAACCAAGUACCACUCCUAACGGGGUGGUUUUUCCGAAGUGGAAAAAGCCUCCAGGAAUAAGAACCUGGGCCAGAACCGUGGCCAGCCGCCGCCGUUACACCCGCCAGCUCGAGUUGUUGGCCGGUUUUAUUGGGGCCUAAAGCCGGUCCGUAGCCCGUUUUGAUAAGGUCUCUCUGGUGAAAUUCUACAGCUUAACCUGUGGGAAUUGCUGGAGGAUACUAUUCAAGCUUGAAGCCGGGAGAAGCCUGGAAGUACUCCCGGGGGUAAGGGGUGAAAUUCUAUUAUCCCCGGAAGACCAACUGGUGCCGAAGCGGUCCAGCCUGGAACCGAACUUGACCGUGAGUUACGAAAAGCCAAGGGGCGCGGACCGGAAUAAAAUAACCAGGGUAGUCCUGGCCGUAAACGAUGUGAACUUGGUGGUGGGAAUGGCUUCGAACUGCCCAAUUGCCGAAAGGAAGCUGUAAAUUCACCCGCCUUGGAAGUACGGUCGCAAGACUGGAACCUAAAAGGAAUUGGCGGGGGGACACCACAACGCGUGGAGCCUGGCGGUUUUAUUGGGAUUCCACGCAGACAUCUCACUCAGGGGCGACAGCAGAAAUGAUGGGCAGGUUGAUGACCUUGCUUGACAAGCUGAAAAGGAGGUGCAU